ACCUCAAAAAAUUUGAUUAUUGUGAAAAGUUCAAUAUUUUUUGUCAGGUAUUUCAGAUAGUGAAAAUUUGACAUUUUCUACACUCUUCACACAG